rnacentral:misc_RNA from 1 species
AAGUCGUAACAAGGUUUCCGUAGGUGAACCUGCGGAAGGAUCAUUAACACGUUAUCCACGUAUCACCAUGAGAACUGUUAUUCUAACUUUGGAGGCAGGACACGCAGCGAACAGAUAGAGUGUGGGAUGUGGGCUUGAUCGAAAGGUCGCCGUACUCUAACUGACUCAGUUUCUAGAGGGCUUGCUUUUUGGCAGGCUAUCCGAGGGGGCUGACUGUAGUUCUGUUUCUGAAGCCCAAAUUCUCGCUCGAUCAACUCUCCAUCCCUGAGGUGCGCGACGAGAAACAAAUAUUAAAUUAUUCACACUAUUCACCCCUUUUUGCUAGUUGACUUUUAUAUGUUGUGCUUUGCCUCGGCCGAGUGCACACGUUUAAUUAUUUGAACGUUAAAAAUACAACUCUUAGCAAUGGAUAUCUAGGUUCUC